rnacentral:tRNA from 1 species
GCGACUGUGGCAGAAUGGGAAUGCAGCGGAUUGUGGCUCCGCCUUAUGUGGGUUCGAAUCCCGUCGGCCGCC